rnacentral:rRNA from 1 species
GACGAACGCUGGCGGCGUGCUUAACACAUGCAAGUCGAACGGAAAGGCCCUGCUUUUGUGGGGUGCUCGAGUGGCGAACGGGUGAGUAACACGUGAGUAACCUGCCCUUGACUUUGGGAUAACUUCAGGAAACUGGGGCUAAUACCGGAUAGGAGCUCCUGCUGCAUGGUGGGGGUUGGAAAGUUUGGGCGGUUGGGGAUGGACUCGCGGCUUAUCAGCUUGUUGGUGGGGUAGUGGCUUACCAAGGCUUUGACGGGUAGCCGGCCUGAGAGGGUGACCGGCCACAUGGGGACUGAGAGACGGCCCAGACUGCUACGGGAGGCAGCAGUGGGGCAUAUUGCACAAUGGGCGGCAGCCUGAUGCAGCAACGCCGCGUGCGGGAUGACGGCCUUCGGGUUGUAAACCGCUUUCGCCGGUGACGAAGCGUGAGUGACGGUAAUGGGUAAAGAAGCACCGGCUAACUACGUG